rnacentral:rRNA from 1 species
CCUUACGGCCAUACCACCCUGAACGCGCCCGAUCUCGUCCGAUCUCGGAAGCUAAGCAGGGUCGGGCCUGGUUAGUACUUGGAUGGGAGACCGCCUGGGAAUACCAGGUGCUGUAAGCC